UGUCAGGGAAGGAGCUCCUGCAUGAGGAAGCUGCCUGAGACCUGGUGCUGCCUGCUUUGCUACCCAAGUGCUGCAAGACUUUAGGAACCUCCCAGAAGUAGAAGACAAUACUGGCCACAAUUAUGGGAUCAAACAAUAGCUGGACAGAACAUUAGCAGGAUGGUAUACAAGGUGCUGUGCUUUCAUGAUGAGAGGUCCAGCAGCUGCAUGCAGGGAAGAAGCACCAGCUGUGUGUGGGGAUGUGCCUUCAGGGUCACCACCAGCCUCAGCUGGGGCCCUCUGUAUAAGGCUGAUGGAUUUGUGGUGCUACAGCAUGAAGGACAUCACACAUGAGUGGGAAAGGGACCGGUGGACAAGGAGUUCCGGGAUAGGCUCCUGGAGCCUUGAGGAGAGGCACAUGAAGGUCCAGGAGUGGCAGGCUACCAUGGCAGCCAGGGAAGUGGAGGCCACAAGAGCAGGACUGCUGGGUGCUGAACACCAUUCUGGCCCUGCCGGUCACCCUCAUGCUGCCUGCUGCCCAGCCUCUAGCCACAGCCCUGCCUGCCUCCUGUCCAGCUGCAAGCCCCCAGUGGGCUUGGGCUGAGGUGCAGUAGCACCUCUAACAGCCAGGUUCCUCUGCCUCAGCUGUCCUCACCUCACUAAAGCCCUGUCCCACUGCUCACCCCAGGUCCAUGCAGUCCUGGAGCAGGAGCUGCCUGCAGCAGGGCCAGCACUGCAUGUGGGCCCAGCCCACUGGCUGCUGGAAAUGGAGUUGGCUGCACCAGCAAAACAGUGGCUUCUUUCACCCCUGGGCUAACCCUCUGCCCGCUGGUCUUGCCAUAGUGUGUGAACCCCUGGUGGUGCGGUUAGAAGCUGGGGUGCUGCGUGCCUGUCCCUGGGCUUCAACGCCCAGGUGCCCCCACCCUGGGAAGGCAUACAGAGCAGACUGUACAUAGCUUGCAUGGGGAAGAGGGUGCUUUAUUGGUGGU